rnacentral:rRNA from 1 species
CGAACGAUGAACCGCUUUCGGGCGGGGAUUAGUGGCAGAACGGGUCAGUAACACGUGGGCAAUCUGCCCUGCACUCUGGGACAAGCCCUGGAAACGGGGUCUAAUACCGGAUAUGACCGUCUGCCGCAUGGUGGAUGGUGUAAAGCUCCGGCGGUGCAGGAUGAGCCCGCGGCCUAUCAGCUUGUUGGUGAGGUAGUGGCUCACCAAGGCGACGACGGGUAGCCGGCCUGAGAGGGCGACCGGCCACACUGGGACUGAGACACGGCCCAGACUCCUACGGGAGGCAGCAGUGGGGAAUAUUGCACAAUGGGCGAAAGCCUGAUGCAGCGACGCCGCGUGAGGGAUGACGGCCUUCGGGUUGUAAACCUCUUU